UUGGAGGGCAAGUCUGGUGCCAGCAGCCGCGGUAAUUCCAGCUCCAAUAGCGUAUAUUAAAGUUGUUGCAGUUAAAAAGCUCGUAGUUGAAUUUCGGGAUUCAUCCGUUGGUCGGGCUUCACGGUCCGUACUGGUGUGAUGGGUUCCUACCUACUGAAUAACCGGCAUGCCAUUAAUUUGGUGCGCCGGGGAAGCAGAACUAUUACCUUGAAAAAAUUAGAGUGCUUAAAGCAGGCAAGUGCCUGAAUAGGUUAGCAUGGAAUAAUAAAAUAGGACGGCAUGGUUCUAUUUUGUUGGUUUCUAGGAUCACCGUAAUGAUUAAUAGGGAUAGUUGGGGGCAUUAGUAUUCAAUUGUCAGAGGUGAAAUUCUUGGAUUUAUUGAAGACUAACUUCUGCGAAAGCAUUUGCCAAGGAUGUUUUCAUUAAUCAAGAACGAAAGUUAGGGGAUCGAAGACGAUCAGAUACCGUCGUAGUCUUAACCAUAAACUAUGCCGACUAGGGAUCGGACGAUGUUAAUUUUUUAAUGACUCGUUCGGCGCCUUACGGGAAAC
rnacentral:rRNA from 1 species